rnacentral:rRNA from 1 species
GACGAACGCUGGCGGCGUGCUUAACACAUGCAAGUCGAACGGAAAGGCCCUGCUUUUGUGGGGUGCUCGAGUGGCGAACGGGUGAGUAACACGUGAGUAACCUGCCCUUGACUUUGGGAUAACUUCAGGAAACUGGGGCUAAUACCGGAUAGGAGCUCCUGCUGCAUGGUGGGGGUUGGAAAGUUUCGGCGGUUGGGGAUGGACUCGCGGCUUAUCAGCUUGUUGGUGGGGUAGUGGCUUACCAAGGCUUUGACGGGUAGCCGGCCUGAGAGUGACCGGCCACAUUGGGACUGAGAUACGGCCCAGACUCCUACGGGAGGCAGCAGUGGGGAAUAUUGCACAAUGGGCGGAAGCCUGAUGCAGCAACGCCGCGUGCGGGAUGACGGCCUUCGGGUUGUAAACCGCUUUCGCCUGUGACGAAGCGUGAGUGACGGUAAUGGGUAAAGAAGCACCGGCUAACUACGUG